rnacentral:rRNA from 1 species
GGGGGGGGGGGGGGGGGGGGGGGGGGGGGGCGGGGCGAGCGGGGCCUGCGGGUCGAGUGGCGCACGGGUGCGUAACGCGUGGGAACCUGCCCUUAGGUUCGGAAUAACUCCCCGAAAGGGGUGCUAAUACCGGAUAAUGUCUUCGGACCAAAGAUUUAUCGCCUUUGGAUGGGCCCGCGUUGGAUUAGCUAGUUGGUAGGGUAAAAGCCUACCAAGGCGACGAUCCAUAGCUGGUCUGAGAGGAUGAUCAGCCACACUGGGACUGAGACACGGCCCAGACUCCUACGGGAGGCAGCAGUGGGGAAUAUUGGACAAUGGGCGAAAGCCUGAUCCAGCAAUGCCGCGUGAGUGAUGAAGGCCUUAGGGUUGUAAAGCUCUUUUACCCGGGAUGAUAAUGACAGUACCGGGAGAAUAAGCUCCGGCUAACUCCGUG